GUGCUUGAGUAGGCAGCACAUAUAAUAAUACUGGAAUUAAAAAGAGAGGGGUAGCAUGGCCCCUGCAUGAGGACUUCACGCAAAUUCCUUAAGGGUUUCAUAUGCUG